rnacentral:rRNA from 1 species
GACGAACGCUGGCGGCGUGCCUAAUACAUGCAAGUUGAGCGCUGAAGGUUGGUACUUGUACCAACUGGAUGAGCAGCGAACGGGUGAGUAACGCGUGGGGAAUCUGCCUUUUAGCGGGGGACAACAUUUGGAAACGAAUGCUAAUACCGCAUAAAAACUUUAAACACAAGUUUUAAGUUUGAAAGAUGCAAUUGCAUCACUCAAAGAUGAUCCCGCGUUGUAUUAGCUAGUUGGUGAGGUAAAGGCUCACCAAGGCGAUGAUACAUAGCCGACCUGAGAGGGUGAUCGGCCACAUUGGGACUGAGACACGGCCCAAACUCCUACGGGAGGCAGCAGUAGGGAAUCUUCGGCAAUGGACGAAAGUCUGACCGAGCAACGCCGCGUGAGUGAAGAAGGUUUUCGGAUCGUAAAACUCUGUUGGUAGAGAAGAACGUUGGUGAGAGUGGAAAGCUCAUCAAGUGACGGUAACUACCCAGAAAGGGACGGCUAACUACGUG